rnacentral:rRNA from 1 species
AACGAACGCUGGCGGCAUGCCUAACACAUGCAAGUCGAACGAGACCUUCGGGUCUAGUGGCGCACGGGUGCGUAACGCGUGGGAACCUGCCCUUAGGUUCGGAAUAACUCCCCGAAAGGGGUGCUAAUACCGGAUAAUGUCUUCGGACCAAAGAUUUAUCGCCUUUGGAUGGGCCCGCGUUGGAUUAGCUAGUUGGUAGGGUAAAAGCCUACCAAGGCGACGAUCCAUAGCUGGUCUGAGAGGAUGAUCAGCCACACUGGGACUGAGACACGGCCCAGAAUCCUACGGGAGGCAGCAGUGGGGAAUAUUGGACAAUGGGCGAAAGCCUGAUCCAGCAAUGCCGCGUGAGUGAUGAAGGCCUUAGGGUUGUAAAGCUCUUUUACACGGGAUGAUAAUGACAGUACCGGGAGAAUAAGCUCCGGCUAACUCCGUG